rnacentral:rRNA from 1 species
AUUGAACGCUGGCGGCAUGCUUUACACAUGCAAGUCGAACGGUAACAGGCCUUCGGGUGCUGACGAGUGGCGAACGGGUGAGUAAUGCAUCGGAACGUGCCCAGAGGUGGGGGAUAACGCAGCGAAAGCUGUGCUAAUACCGCAUGUGAUCUGAGGAUGAAAGCGGGGGACCAAGCAGCAAUGUUUGGCCUCGCGCCUCUGGAGCGGCCGAUGUCAGAUUAGGUAGUUGGUGGGGUAAAGGCCUACCAAGCCGACGAUCUGUAGCUGGUCUGAGAGGACGACCAGCCACACUGGGACUGAGACACGGCCCAGACUCCUACGGGAGGCAGCAGUGGGGAAUUUUGGACAAUGGGCGCAAGCCUGAUCCAGCAAUGCCGCGUGCGGGAAGAAGGCCUUCGGGUUGUAAACCGCUUUUGUAUGGAACGAAAAGGCUCUGGCUAAUACCUGGGGCUGAUGACGGUACCGUAAGAAUAAGCACCGGCUAACUACGUG